GGAUAUGAGGGCGAUCUGGCUAGACAGUGUCUCCUUCUUCCCUUACUCUUCCAUGCAUGUCCCUCCUGAAGCUGCCCACUCACUGUUUUGAAGACAAGAGAAGGACUGGACAAGUACCUGUGCUCUGCUGUUAGAACCUCCAAACAAGCUCUCAAGAAGAAAAUUAGAUAGGAGCAUAUUGCUAUAUCAAUCUGUUGUUCAUCGUUCUAAAUAACAGGCACAAUCAAACUUAUUUUCUUU
ensembl:misc_RNA 7SK 7SK RNA